UACGUAGGAGGCAAGCGUUGUCCGGAGUUACUGGGCGUAAAGCGCACGCAGGCGGUUCAGUCAGUCUGUAGGGACAGGGCACAGCUCAACUGUGUUAGGCUUACGGAAACUGCUGAACUUGAGGGCCUCAGAGGGAUGGGGAAUUCCGGGUGGAGUGGUGAAAUGCGUAGAGAUCCGGAAGAACACCAAAGGCGAAGGCACCAUCCUGGGGAGUCACUGACGCUCGGGUGCGAAAGCUAGGGGAGCGAACGGG
rnacentral:rRNA from 1 species